CACGUAGGGCGCGAGCGUUGUCCGGAAUCAUUGGGCGUAAAGCGCACGUAGGCGGUUCGUUAUGUCGGAUGUGAAAGCCCUUGGCUUAACCGAGGAAGUGCAUCCGAAACUGGCGAGCUAGAGUACUAAAGAGGAUCGCGGAAUUCCCGGUGUAGAGGUGAAAUUCGUAGAUAUCGGGAGGAACACCGGUGGCGAAGGCGGCCUGCUGGGCAGUUUAGCUGACACUGAGGCGCGACAGCGUGGGGAGCAAACAGG
rnacentral:rRNA from 1 species